AGGGUUCGAUUCUGGCUCAGGAUGAACGCUGGCGGCGUGCUUAGCACAUGCAAGUCGAACGAACCUUCGGGUUAGUGGCGGACGGGUGAGUAACGCGUGAGAAUCUGCCCUCAGGAGGGGGAUAACGGUUGGAAACGACCGCUAAUACCCCAUAUGCCUAUUGGUGAAAUGAAUUUCGCCUGAGGAUGAGCUCGCGUCUGAUUAGCUAGUUGGUGAGGUAAUGGCUCACCAAGGCUUCGAUCAGUAGCUGGUCUGAGAGGAUGAUCAGCCACACUGGGACUGAGACACGGCCCAGACUCCUACGGGAGGCAGCAGUGGGGAAUUUUCCGCAAUGGGCGAAAGCCUGACGGAGCAACGCCGCGUGAGGGACGAAGGCCUCUGGGCUGUAAACCUCUUUUCUCAAGGAAGAAGAUAUGACGGUACUUGAGGAAUAAGCCACGGCUAAUUCCGUGCCAGCAGCCGCGGUAAUACGGGAGUGGCAAGCGUUAUCCGGAAUUAUUGGGCGUAAAGCGUCCGCAGGCGGCUUUUCAAGUCUGCUGUUAAAGCGUGGAGCUUAACUCCAUCAUGGCAGUGGAAACUGAAAGGCUUGAGUAUGGUAGGGCAGAGGGAAUUCCCGGUGUAGCGGUGAAAUGCGUAGAUAUCGGGAAGAACACCAGUGGCGAAGGCGCUCUGCUGGGCCAUUACUGACGCUCAUGGACGAAAGCCAGGGGAGCGAAAGGGAUUAGAUACCCCUGUAGUCCUGGCCGUAAACGAUGAACACUAGGUGUCGGGGGAAUCGACCCCUUCGGUGUCGUAGCUAACGCGUUAAGUGUUCCGCCUGGGGAGUACGCACGCAAGUGUGAAACUCAAAGGAAUUGACGGGGGCCCGCACAAGCGGUGGAGUAUGUGGUUUAAUUCGAUGCAACGCGAAGAACCUUACCAGGGUUUGACAUCCUGCGAACCUCUUAGAAAUUUGAGGGUGCCUUCGGGAAUGCAGUGACAGGUGGUGCAUGGCUGUCGUCAGCUCGUGUCGUGAGAUGUUGGGUUAAGUCCCGCAACGAGCGCAACCCACGUUUUUAGUUGCCAGCAUUUAGUUGGGCACUCUAGAAAGACCGCCGGUGAUAAACCGGAGGAAGGCGUGGAUGACGUCAAGUCAUCAUGCCCCUUACACCCUGGGCUACACACGUACUACAAUGCCACGGACAAAGGGCAGCAAACUCGCGAGAGCUAGCAAAUCCCAUAAACCGUGGCUCAGUUCAGAUCGUAGGCUGCAACUCGCCUACGUGAAGUAGGAAUCGCUAGUAAUCGCAGGUCAGCAUACUGCGGUGAAUACGUUCCCGGGCCUUGUACACACCGCCCGUCACACCAUGGAAGUUGGCCAUGCCCGAAGUCGUUACUCCAACCCUUGUGGAGGAGGACGCCGAAGGUGGGGCUAAUGACUGGGGUGAAGUCGUAACAAGGUAACCAAGGG
rnacentral:rRNA from 1 species